UUUUGUACGAACAAAAAAAAAAAAUAUUUAAUUUAAUUUGAUCUAUCUGCUGUUUGAGUUCACCUCGCAAGUGUGUCUGUCUAGUGAGAACCGAGAACAUAACACAGUCUUCAUCCUUAUAAGGUGUCACCGUGAAUUAGAACUCAGAAGCAUCAGCCAUGGCAUAUGCAGCGUUUCUCCGUUAAACGUUUAUUACUAACAAGUAACGACUGAGCAAGGUUAACGGUCACGCCCUUGGUUUUAGGAUUUCGCCUCCUUCGCAAAUAACCUAACCGUGUUGCAACUCUUCGCUUCUUUCCGAUCUCUUCUAUAUCUAGGGUUUCUUCAGCUUCAUGGCUUCCCCUGAUGAUGAUUUCGAUUUCGGUGGUGAAAUUGGUGGAAGGCAUUCAGGUAAUAAGAGACCAUCUCCGGAUUACGAUGAUGAAGAUUAUGAAAACGAUCCUUUUGCACCGAAGAAGGCCAAAUCUAAAGCUGAAGAAACUGCCUCUGGCGUAACAACAGGAAUGAUCUUGUCACUUCGUGAAAGCCUCCAGAGCUGUAAGGAUCAGCUUGCAACAUGCCAAAAUGAGCUCGAGGCUGCAAAGUCUGAGAUUCAGAGUUGGCAUUCUUCAAUUCAAAAUGAGCCUGUUGUAAAUGCUGGGGCUGCUCCAGAGCCAAAAAUGUUGAUUAAUUACCUUCAGGCUCUGAAAUCAUCUGAAGAGUCAUUGAGAGAGCAGCUUGAAAAAGCGAAGAAAAAAGAUUCGGCAUUCAUUAAAACAUUUGCUAAACGGGAACAAGAGAUAGCGGAGUUGAAAUCUGCUGUACGGGAUCUGAAAGUUCAACUCAAGCCACCAUCAAUGCAGGCAAGGAGGUUGUUACUAGAUCCGGCUGUUCAUGAAGAGUUCACACGUUUGAAGAAUUUAGUGGAGGAAAAGGACAAAAAAUUAAAGGAGUUGCAAGAUAACAUUUCUGCUAUAACUUUUACUUCCCAAAGCAAGAUGGGAAAGAUGCUGAUGGCUAAGUGCAGAACCCUGCAAGAAGAAAAUGAGGAGAUUGGAAAUCAAGCUUCUGAGGGAAAGAUACAUGAAUUCACGAUGAAACUUGCAUUACAGAAGUCCCAGAAUGCACAACUCAGAAGUCAAUUCGAAGGAUUGCAGAAGCAUAUGGAAGGACUGACAAAUGAUGUGGAGAGAUCAAAUGAAACGGUUCUUAUGUUGCAAGAGAAGCUAGACGAGAAAGAUCAGGAGAUCCAAAGACUGAAACAUGAACUCCAAGAAAACAACUUAACAGAGGAUGGAAGGUCUGAUGCAACAUUUAAUAGGAGUGACGACGAUAAAUUGACGACUGAGGAGGAUAAGUUGACCACUGAGGAGGCUGCGAAUUAAUUUUGGUUAAUUUUUUUUGUAGGAAACAUUUUUUAUUAAGUUUCUACUAGUUGCUGUACAUUAUAUUAAUCAUGAUUUUUUUUUUGAAAAGGGUUAUAUUGGUCUUUGAUUGAUUCGAUUUGAUAGAUCUAUUUUUUCUAGGCAAACAUGCAGUUGUGAAAUAAUUUUGAUCUUGCUUCAAAUGGAAUAUAAUCCUCGUUGCAGAUGGUGCUA